UAGUCUACGCCGUAAACGAUGGAUACUAGUUGUUUGGUUUUCGGACUGAGUGACUAAGCGAAAGUGAUAAGUAUCCCACCUGGGGAGUACGUUCGCAAGAAUGAAACUCAAAGGAAUUGACGGGGGCCCGCACAAGCGGUGGAGCAUGUGGCUUAAUCCGAUGAUACGCGAGGAACCUUACCAGGGCUUAAAUGUAGUCUGACAGCUUUAGAGAUAGAGUUUUCUUCGGACAGAUUACAAGGUGCUGCAUGGUUGUCGUCAGCUCGUGCCGUGAGGUGUCAGGUUAAGUCCUAUAACGAGCGCAACCCCUGUUGUUAGUUGCCAGCGAGUCAUGUCGGGAACUCUAACAAGACUGCCGGUGCAAACCGUGAGGAAGGUGGGGAUGACGUCAAAUCAUCACGGGCCCUUACGUCCUGGGGCUACACACGUGCUACAAUGGUAGGUACAGAGGGGCAGCCACUGCGUGAGCAGGAGCGAAUCCUU
rnacentral:rRNA from 1 species